UCUAUACCUAAAAUAUGAAUACAAUAAAAGUGGAAGGGUGAAGUUUAUAAAUGAAUUUGAAUAGGGUGGACCAUGUGUCAUCGGGUGGAGCUGAGACCACCUGAAUUUUGAACAGUACGCUGACCAGUGACUACUGCUCUUUUUUAUGUCUGUCUGUGUCUGUUGUCAUCUCGAAUCCCCCGCGAGCGAAGAAAAAGUAGAGAAAAUUUUGCACUGAACGAGGGAGUUCCCUUUUUAAUGAAAAUCAUUUAUAGUUUACACCCUUCAAAAAUAUAUAUGGUAAAAAAUUAAUAAUUGAACAAAAAGCAACCAAAUUUUCUUAUACAAAGUCGGUGAAUUAGCUCAACUAAUUCUGACUCAUUUUUGGCUUACCUGCUUGGUGCGAUCUCAUCAUCAUUAUCAUCGUUUUCAUGUACAAAUAAUCACAUGGUUGAAAAUGGGUUCCCAUAACAAGAUGCCUAAUAAUUGUGAGAUUACUGGGGUUUGAUUAGAUUGAUUAAGAAUAAGAUAUAUAUUUUUAUAUGAUGGCGUGAAUAGGUCAUGAUGAUGAACAUGGGAUUUGAAAUCAACAUGUAAAGAGAAAGAGAGAGAGAGAGAAGGAGGGGCUGAAUUCUAUAAAUAUUGCUUUUGCACGUUGCAGAGACGAUGCGAUAGAUGGAUGAAUCAGGUGAGUGAUAAGAGAGAGAGAGAGAGAGAGAGAGAGAGAGAAAGAGAGAGAGAGAGAUGGGAGCCUUGGUCAUCUCUGGAGAAGUUGGGUAAGGAGGGGCCUGCCGCUUUAAUUACUUUGUUUGUCCUUUUAACCUUCUCCAUCUCUCUUCCCUGAGCCUUUUUAUGUCUUCGUUUUCCUUCAUAUUGAUUUCUCACUCACACACUUCACACAACACAAAACCCAUCCAUCUCUCCCUUUCAACUUCGUGGGUCAAUUGGGUUUGUCAAAUACCGGAGAAAUAACAAGAUGAGAGGAAGCUUUUUCUUUUGAGGGGAAUGUUGUCUGGCUCGAGGCCACCAACUGGAUCUAUGAACAAUCGAGAUAUUGAUCAUUGAUCAUAAGUUGUGACGUCGGACCAGGCUUCAUUCCCCCCAAUUAUUGCUUCUAUCUGUCAUUUAGACAUUUUAAUUCUUCAUUUGGAGUUGAUCUGAGGUGAGUUUUCCCUAGUUUUAGUUCCACAUAUUUUUACUAUAUGUGGGGUUUCGUUUUUGGUAUUGAUUUAUGUGGUUUUCUAUGUGCGUUUUUUUUGGGUAGAUAGGGCGAUCAAGGUCAUUGGACAUGCGCAGAUUGGUGUAAUGAUGAGGGUUUUGACUGCCUUUGAACUCCUUUUCUGACUGAAAUGGAAAAGAUCAUCAUUACACUUUUUUUUUUCUUUCUAAAUAUUAAGGAUCAGGGUUUGUGUUCUUUGUCAGUAUAACUCUUUUUGGUUUCAUCAUUGAACUGAUUUCUUUCAUGAUUACUUUAAGAAUCUUCUCUGUCUGUUUCUACUCUUUCCUGAUCUACUCGGCUUCCCUUCUUGGCUUCAUCUCUCAUUACCAGUAUCAUCCACCAUUUCCUCCUCCACCAACUCUGACUAGGUUUUCGUUUACUCCGAACCUUUUGUGAUGAGCUUUUUCCUAGGGCUUUCAUGGUGAAUGGUGUCAUAUGUUCAGAUUUUAACAUUUACUAACUCUCUUAAACACGAUUUCUUUCUUUAGUUUUCAACUUUGAACCUGUACGUUGUGGUUUCUUUAAGCUUUUUCAUUAAGCAUCUGAAACCACUGAGUUUUAUGAUUUUAUAUGUGGGUAUAUGUGGUUUUGUCCUGUUACUUGUUGUAAUCUCCGCUUGUUUUAUUUGGUUUUGUUCUUUCAGCUGCUUUAUCACUGAUCAACUUAGUACUUUUUCACAGACGUUUGGAGCUAUUAUAAUGGUCAACUGAUGGCCCCUUGCAAAGCUCAAGAGAUGAGCUUCAUACUCUAUAUUUCUGUGGUUAUUUGUAAAUUGUUUGUCCAUCAGGUUCUUUUAUUCUCAGACGAGUUUUUAUUUAGGUUAGUGUCUCACUUUGUUUCUAAAAGAGCUUAUAUGCAGGAUCAGCUUUUGCGAAACUGUAUGUGUUACACUUUCUAUUUCUUAAAGGAAGGUGAAAGAAUAUUAUUUCAGAAGAGGUAAUCGGACUGAUCUGUAUUGAGAAGCAACUUACUUGCAACUUUAUAAGGGUUCAGGAAGUAUGCAGAAAACUAUGGCGAAAGGUGAAACAGUAGGUGAUUAGAAAGGUGAAAGAGAGAAGCGUCAUCAAGAGAAGAACCAAAGUUGGUUUAUUAAUGGUGCGUGGUUUGUGUAGUGUGCCUCACAUUCUGUCAUCAAUUUCUGAACCUGAGUCAUAUGGAAACACUGAAUGCCAUUAAUGGUCUGACUCUCUCUUUCUCUUUUACUACUGUAUACAGUUAAGUCAGCAUCAGCAUUGACGCCAUGGAUUCCUCUUUAUCCUCACUCUGUGAUUAAUAUGGACUACGAUGUAUCUAUUGAACGUAACUCUAUGCAAUUAAACGCAGUUGUUUC